rnacentral:rRNA from 1 species
UACGGGGGGGGCAAGCGUUAUCCGGAUUCACUGGGUUUAAAGGGUGCGUAGGUGGGUCUGUAAGUCAGUGGUGAAAUCUCCGUGCUUAACAUGGAAACUGCCAUUGAUACUAUAGGUCUUGAAUUUUCUGGAGGUAAGCGGAAUAUGUCAUGUAGCGGUGAAAUGCUUAGAUAUGACAUAGAACACCAAUUGCGAAGGCAGCUUGCUACAGGGAUAUUGACACUGAGGCACGAAAGCGUGGGGAGCAAACAGG